AGAAGAAGAAGAAGAAGAAAACCUAGUUAAUUCUUAACUCAAUACACAAAUACGAAAAUUUCAUUUAUUUUUUUUAUAUGAAUUUCGAGGUAUAUAUCAUAUCAUGGGUACAAAAUAAACUAUGUCUAGAUGAAAAUUUUAGUAUUAUUAUAGUUAUACUCAAAUUAAAAUUAACAACACAAACACAUUAUUUUUUCUUAAUUUUUUUUCCUCAAUAUAUAUUUAUUUAAAUGUUUUAUUAUGUUUUUGUAUUUUGAUUUAAUUUAUUAUUUUAAGAUUUAAAUAGAAUUACUUAAAAUUUGUAGAUAUGUGACUCAAAAUUUUACAAGAUUUAGAUAUAAUAGAUAAUAAAAAAAAUAAACACUUUCUGUCUAAUUAACCAAAAGAAAAAAAAGCUUGUACAAUCAGAUUGAAUAAGUAAAUAAUUAAAGAGCAUAUUACUGUGGUGUUGAUGUGGCCUAAAAUGCUCUAAAGUUUAGUCUUUUCGGUCCCCAUCUCUUGCACUGCAGAAUGGUAUUGUGUGAAUAAUAUCGACUUGACUUUGCUUUUACGUGUUACAGACUUUUAUUUCAAUUUAAUAAUAUUUAAAUUAUUUUUAAAAUUAUAAUUUAUUAAUUAAAAUUUAAUAAAACAAGAACAGCAAUGAAGGAG
rnacentral:misc_RNA from 1 species